CCGUGUUGUGUAUCUUGGACGUUUCCUCCCUAAACUUGGGCCGCGCGACAGCGCGGCCCCCUUUUUUUGUGCCA
rnacentral:sRNA from 1 species